UUUUUUUUUUUUUUUGACAGAAGGAUGCUCCCUAUUCUCUUCUGAUGUUUGCCAGGAUGUCACAGGGAUACUUUCUCCUCAGUCUCCAUUUUACUGCUAAGAACAAUUUUCUCCCAUCUGAAAGCCAUAGAGUGUCAGGUCAGUCACAAGUGGGGUGCUGUUUUAAAGUGUGGAAGAACCUGGUAUAAGACUCCCUGUCAAGACAGCUACCUCUCUGGGACAAACACCAGUAUGAGCUAGGACCAAUGAUCGCCUUUAUCAGAGGAGGAAGAGCUGGUCAGUUCCUUUGUCAUUCUCUCCUCCCUCUCCUGGUACAACAUGAUCAGUGUGCUGCCCACGGGACUCCCUUCCUGCCCAGCUUGGGACAGGCUGGCUUCUUCCUGCCUGGCUUGGGCUUUGCCACUGCCUAUGCCACUCUGUUGCUCUGUGUGUAAUGUGUGGAACUGAUUUCCUGUCUGAGAUAGCUUUUGUUACUAAACCUUGACAGAAACUUAAAAGAGAAAGAAUUUAUUUCAGUGUAUGGUGUCGGAAGGGUUAGCCUAUCAUUAAAGGGCAGGUGGAGGAGAACAGCCUAAAACAUGGAGAUGAGAUGUGGGGAAAGGUAAAAGUUUGGUCUUCUAGCAACAUCCCCCUUAGAUUGGAGUCUUCCCCUUUGCUUAAUUUUCUGUGACCCUUAGACAAUCCCAGAAUGUGGUCAGCCUCUCAGGGACUGUAAAUGCAGCCAAGAUAAUAAUGAUUAACUGUUACACUCCUGAAGGUAAGGUCAAAUCCUAACCUUCAGAACCUGUGAAUGUGACCUUUGUAGAUGCUAAGUUCAGCUAGGGUUACACUGAAGAAUACAUAUGGCAAGAAGGUUACAGGCAGUGGGAGGCAGGAACGUAACUGGUGCUUCCACAAGCCAUGGACUGCAGGAUCUAGCAGGUAUGAGGAAGAGGUGUUCCCUGUGGAGUCAGGAAGAACAGGACUCUGCUCACUCAUUGUUUUCAUAAUUCAUCUCUGUUGUCUAAAGUCACCCAGAUGUCAGCACUUUGUGAUAGCAGUCACAAGACACUACAUGCUCCCAAUCAAGUGUCCCCUAGUCAUCCUGCAGUCCCUGGAAGGGUUCAUUCUUUAAGAGCCCUUACUAGUUCAGAGGCAUAACCUUUGAUCCCUGUAUCUACGGCCCCUCCUGGGUUGUGGCUGGGGAGAUGUCCAGGAUGGUUCCCUGGCAGAGCCCAAGCCUAGCAGGGGUGGGACACCAGCACGUAUCUGCUGAGUAAAGUCAUCCAAGAAGAACCUUCUGGACUCUCUGUGUGUCACAAGAUCAGCAGCAGUUAGAAGGCUGCCCUGGUGUUUCCCCUGGAAAUCCUCUAGCGCUUUUAUUCAAAUUAAGGCACUCAAUCUGUGAGCCCAGGCCAGAGCCAUAGUACCCCAGUGGACUUUCCAAGCAAGUUGGUUCUUACUGGAUAUGGGUUCCUACUAAGAACAGGGACCCGAAAUGGGGUUCAUUAAUCAGAGAGCAAGCCUUUAAAU
rnacentral:lncRNA from 1 species